rnacentral:rRNA from 1 species
GUCCCGCAACGAGCGCAACCCUUAUCCCCAGUUGCCAUCAGGUAAAGCUGGGAACUCUGGGGAGACUGCCGGUGAUAAACCGGAGGAAGGCGGGGAUGACGUCAAGUCCUCAUGGCCCUUACAUCCCGGGCUACACACGUGCUACAAUGGCAGGUACAGAGGGCUGCGAAGCCGCGAGGUGGAGCGAAUCCCAGAAAACCUGUCUCAGUCCGGAUUGAAGUCUGCAACUCGACUUCAUGAAGGCGGAAUCGCUAGUAACCGCGAAUCAGCAGGUCGCGGUGAAUACGUUCCCGGGCCUU